UGAACAGGAUGACUGUCUGCCUGGUCAGCAC
rnacentral:piRNA from 1 species